ensembl:snoRNA
CCAGAGGUGAUGACAGACCCACAGCUGAUGCAGUGAUGGUUGUUGUGUUCGUACUGUCUGAUCUGG